ensembl:lncRNA
UCAAAAAAUUAAAUUAUAAAUAAAUAAAUACCAGCAAACUAUCUGUUCGUCUCUACCUGGGAGGACCUAGGAAGGCUAAAUAGCACCUUCAUUUCUGGACUUUCCCUUUGAUCACAGCAGCAGACCCUGGGAAUUAUCCCUUCUUUUCUUACAGGUUUUUUAUUUUUUAUUUUUUUUCUUGGUCCUUAAUGGAGAUCUUGAACUGCAGAGCUGCCGUGUCAGAACUCAGAUGGUUAACAUUCACUUCUCGCUGUUUUAUUGCAUAUUACUGUGCGCGCCCGAGCAGCAGGAGCAGAUUCGGGCAAUUACAAUCAAGUCAGGGCACACGCCGCGGCGGGGCAACACGAGCAUGAUGAGGGUACUGAUGAGGCACUUAUCGAAAACCCCACAUCAUCCACACUCAUCAGCCACAACAUGUCACCCCAAAUGAGGCAUCAGCUGCCUUCAAAAGGCUCAGUGCACAGUGUUUACCGCUUUCCUCGGACCCGCUUUUGAUUUUACGGUCAGAGCUGGGUUCAAACAGCAGCUGUCUGGCAAAGACAGACUUUUCAGCACCCACCUCCCAUACCCACUAGUGCGUGCCACCUCAGCUAUCCAAAGCAGUGGGAAGAAAGGACAGCACAUGGCUUCGAGCCUGGAAAACAUCAUUAGAAAUAGUCAAGGAUGGUGACCACAAAGCUCAGAGCAGUGCUCAGUUUGGUUCACUCCAGAGGAGCCAAGGCAAAAGAAAGCAAAUCAGACAUGUUGAACUGCAAGAUUCCACUCCUGACGCCAGAAUUUGUCAAGAGGACCGCAUUGUUGUUUCUCACUGAGGCAUAGGACUGACUGCGGGCCAUUGUUUCUCCAGCUCAAGUGGGCCUGUCUGGUUCGUGUUGGAAGAAUAGGGGCGACAUGCGUGAGUUCCCAAGUAUAAAGGAACUACCGGUUCUAGAAAGACACGGGAGUUUAGCCACUAAUGCAGAGUAAAUAAACAUUUUUCACCACCUCUUGCUCCCUGUGAUUUUUUUUUUUAAAGGUCAAGAGCUGCCAUUACAGUAUUUUAAAAGCUUCAAAUUAUGUUUAAAGCACGUAUCACUAAACUCACAGAAACCUUAUCAGAAUUUGGGAACCCACUGUGAUUGUUUGGUCCUUGAGUUUUAUCAUCACUGGAAGGCAGACUGUAAAAGGAAUGCAGAUGCCCUGUCGCUUCUAAUAUCCUGCAAUUUGCACAAAGUGAAUGUGGCUCAAGCCCUUCCACAUUUCCCUCAAAAUACUGCAAGUAUGGAGACUGGUCAGUUUCAAAUCUUCCUAAGGUCCAUGUUGCAGGUCACACAUUCUAGACAGAUAAGAGUAAGCCUUUGGGAACCUUUCAUGAUGAGCAUGUUCAAAAUGCAAAGAACGGGUCAUGUUCCUGGAAAAUCUCCAA